ACGUUCUGCAUGAACGUAAUGCUCUAUAAAUGGAUAAAAUUAGGAUCGUAAAGUAUAUAAGUUUUUGAAAGUAAAGGAGCAAUAUCAACAAAGUUCAUAUUGCUCCUUUACUUUUAUUAGUAGUCUAAAUAUUUAUACCUACAUUUUUGAUUUAUUUCAAGAUUCUUUAGUAUUCUUUAUUUAUUAUGUCGAAAUAAUAUAUCUAAAUAAAUAAUAGAUCUAAAUAUAUCUAUAUAAAWAGAUCUUUCUCUCUUUUUUCUUUUUUUUUUAUAUCYCUAUCUUAGAAGAAAAAAAGAAAGAUAAUGAAGGGGUARAAAUUGAGGUAUAGAAUUAUUUUUACCACAUUUUACCCAUUUUACAUAGU
rnacentral:misc_RNA from 1 species